rnacentral:rRNA from 1 species
GAUGAACGCUGGCGGCGUGCCUAAUACAUGCAAGUCGAGCGAACGGACGAGAAGCUUGCUUUUCUGAUGUUAGCGGCGGACGGGUGAGUAACACGUGGAUAACCUACCUAUAAGACUGGGAUAACUUCGGGAAACCGGAGCUAAUACCGGAUAAUAUUUUGAACCGCAUGGUUCAAAAGUGAAAGACGGUCUUGCUGUCACUUAUAGAUGGAUCCGCGCUGCAUUAGCUAGUUGGUAAGGUAACGGCUUACCAAGGCAACGAUGCAUAGCCGACCUGAGAGGGUGAUCGGCCACACUGGAACUGAGACACGGUCCAGACUCCUACGGGAGGCAGCAGUAGGGAAUCUUCCGCAAUGGGCGAAAGCCUGACGGAGCAACGCCGCGUGAGUGAUGAAGGUCUUCGGAUCGUAAAACUCUGUUAUUAGGGAAGAACAUAUGUGUAAGUAACUGUGCACAUCUUGACGGUACCUAAUCAGAAAGCCACGGCUAACUACGUGCCAGCAGCCGCGGUAAUACGUAGGUGGCAAGCGUUAUCCGGAAUUAUUGGGCGUAAAGCGCGCGUAGGCGGUUUUUUAAGUCUGAUGUGAAAGCCCACGGUUCAACCGUGGAGGGUCAUUGGAAACUGGAAAACUUGAGUGCAGAAGAGGAAAGUGGAAUUCCAUGUGUAGCGGUGAAAUGCGCAGAGAUAUGGAGGAACACCAGUGGCGAAGGCGACUUUCUGGUCUGUAACUGACGCUGAUGUGCGAAAGCGUGGGGAUCAAACAGGAUUAGAUACCCUGGUAGUCCACGCCGUAAACGAUGAGUGCUAAGUGUUAGGGGGUUUCCGCCCCUUAGUGCUGCAGCUAACGCAUUAAGCACUCCGCCUGGGGAGUACGACCGCAAGGUUGAAACUCAAAGGAAUUGACGGGGACCCGCACAAGCGGUGGAGCAUGUGGUUUAAUUCGAAGCAACGCGAAGAACCUUACCAAAUCUUGACAUCCUUUGACAACUCUAGAGAUAGAGCCUUCCCCUUCGGGGGACAAAGUGACAGGUGGUGCAUGGUUGUCGUCAGCUCGUGUCGUGAGAUGUUGGGUUAAGUCCCGCAACGAGCGCAACCCUUAAGCUUAGUUGCCAUCAUUAAGUUGGGCACUCUAAGUUGACUGCCGGUGACAAACCGGAGGAAGGUGGGGAUGACGUCAAAUCAUCAUGCCCCUUAUGAUUUGGGCUACACACGUGCUACAAUGGACAAUACAAAGGGCAGCGAAACCGCGAGGUCAAGCAAAUCCCAUAAAGUUGUUCUCAGUUCGGAUUGUAGUCUGCAACUCGACUACAUGAAGCUGGAAUCGCUAGUAAUCGUAGAUCAGCAUGCUACGGUGAAUACGUUCCCGGGUCU